rnacentral:sRNA from 1 species
CCAGAUGUUGAAGUGAAAGGAGAGUGUUCUAGCUAUUAUCUCUUGUUACAAGGUAAUGGCAAUAGAAGAUGUAAAGCCACAUUGAUUCACUCAGCCAACCAGAUCAAUGGCUCAUUUGCACUCAAUUUAAUUCAUGGAAAGAUGAAAACAAAGACAGAAGAAGCCAAAUUGAGUUUUCCUUUUGACUUAUUAUCACUUCCACAUUUUUCUGGGGAGCAGAUUGUACAGAGAGAGAAACAGUUAGCUAAUGUUCAAGUUUUAGUUUUGGAAGAAUGCCUAAGUAAGUAACAAUUUGUGUAUUUUAUCCUACCCUAAAAAUGUUGACUUGUUUGGACAUAAGCUACCUUUAUUUGCACACUUUUUCUUAUAUAGUUUAUCUUUUAGUUAUGCUACUUAAUUAUAGAACUAUUUUU